rnacentral:ncRNA from 1 species
ACUAAAGAAUUAAAGUUUUAUAUAAAUAUUUAAAUAUAAAGCUUAUAUAUAUAAUAAAGGUAAAUAUAAGUAAAAGUUUUAAUAUAUUAUUAAUUAAUUUUAAUAUAUUUAAAUAAAUUUAAGUAAAAGUAUAAAGUUAUAAAUUUAAAAGAUAAUAAACUAUACUUAAAUAAAGUAAAAUUAGAAAAGACUUUAGUAAAAACUUAUAAUAGUUUUAAUAUAUAAAUCGAUUAUUAAAUUUAAGUAUAAAAGUAAAAAACUAAUUAAAUUAUUUAGUAAUUAGUUAUUAUUAAAGUUUUUCUUAAGAUAAUAGUAUUAUUUAUUAGUUUUAUAAAGUAAAGUAAAUAAUUAAAAACUUAGAAACGUUAUAUAGCUUUUAUUUAUUUUUAAACUUUAAAUAUAUAAAAAGCUUUUAUUACUUAAUUAAACGUAAGUAUUUAAAUAUAUUAAUACUAAUAAGUUAUUUUUAAUAAGUAAAAUUAAUAAUAUAAAAUAAACUAAAUAUAAAGUUAAAAUACUAAAGUAAAUACUUAUUAAAUAUUAUAAAAGAUAUUAAUAUAUUUUAAUAAUAAAAUAAUAAUUAUAAAAGUUAAAAUUUACUAAAAAUUAUAUAAUAAUUUAUUUAUUAAAUAUAUUAGUUUUAAAAUAAAUAAUACUUAAGUAUUUUACUUAUACUUUAUUAUUAAAGUUAAAAUAAUACUUUAAUAAAUAAGUAAUUAUAAAAGUUAGUAAUAAAGUUUAAAGUAUAAGCUUAAGUUAAAUAACUUUUAAUAUAAAUCUUAAUAAUAGUAAUAAAUACUUUAAUAAAAACUUAAAAAAUUAAAAUAAAAAAAAGUUUUAUAUAAAUAAUAAUUAAAUAUAAAUUAAUUAAUUUUAAGUUAUAAAGAAGUUUUAUUUUAAAAAGAUACUUAUACUUUAUAUAAUAAAAGAAAAGUUAAUUAAUAUUUUAAUACUUAAAUAUAAGUUUUAUAUAAUAAUAUAACUAAAUAUAAAGAUAAUAAUAAAAGUUUUAAGUAAAAUUUUCUUUUCUUUUUAAUAAUUUAUUACUUUAAAAAUAAUUUAUUUAAAAAUAAAGUUUAAUAGUUAAAAAAGUUUAAUAUUUUUAUUAAAUUUAAUAUAUUUUUAAUAUUUUUUAAAAAUUUAUAAAAGAGAAUAAUUUUUAUAUUAAAUUAUAUUUAUAAUUAUAAUAAGUUUUUAAAGUAAAUAGCUUUUAAUU